CCCCGAAAGUGCUGGGAUUACAGGCGUGAGCCACCGCACCUGGCCAAUCAUGACUAUUUUUAAUUGUAGCAUUUUAAAAUUUAACUUCUAAAUUAUGAAAAGAAUGUGUGACUAAUAGAAUAAUUUGGGUACAAUUGAAUCCAUUUUACCAAUAAAGUAAGCUUUUAAUUAAGUAAUAAAUCCUUUAAAAGAGAUGCUAAAUGUAGUAGCAGCAUAAUUGGAUCCUAGUGUACUGAUAUGGUCUUGAAUAUGUUAAGAAAAUGUUGUUUGUUAGAAGAGUUUCAAGAUAUUUCAGAAGGAGGAAGGCACUCUUCCAUUAACCCUUAGUGUGUGUUUUUGUUUCAUUUUGGGUUGACUGUUUUGUGUUGCUGCAUGAUGCCUCUAGUACAAGGCCAACACCUCCAUGUCUCAUGUCUUUGCUGCUCCCCUCCUCUGCCAUCUCCCUUCCACCCAGCAUCAACUGAGUCCAUGCUUGUUAACCAGCUCCAUACACCACAUCCAGCAAAGCUCGGAAUGACUCACAGUCACAAACAACCAGGGCACUGAUCUUUUCUCUGUGUCCUUCCAGGUUCUUCUGAGGACAACCUGGGUUUAGUGAGACCACCACCAAGUGAAGAUGAUGAUUGUGAUGAUGAUGAUGAUGAUGAUGUCCAGAUUUUACCAUCACGUGUCCAGGCUUGGCCUGAGA